rnacentral:rRNA from 1 species
CCUACGGGUGGCAGCAGUGAGGAAUAUUGGUCAAUGGGCGCGAGCCUGAACCAGCCAAGUAGCGUGAAUGAUGACUGCCCUACGGGUUGUAAACUUCUUUUAUAAAGGAAUAAAGUGAGGCACGUAUGCCUUUUUGUAUGUACUUUAUGAAUAAGGAUCGGCUAACUCCGUGCCAGCAGCCGCGGUAAUACGGAGGAUCCGAGCGUUAUCCGGAUUUAUUGGGUUUAAAGGGAGCGUAGAUGGGUUGUUAAGUCAGUUGUGAAAGUUUGCGGCUCAACCGUAAAAUUGCAAUUGAUACUGGCAGUCUUGAGUACAGUUGAGGGAGGUGGAAUUCGUGGUGUAGCGGUGAAAUGCGUAGAUAUCACGAAGAAUUCCGAUUGCGAAGGCAGCCCACUAAACUGACACUGACACUGAGGCGCGAAAGUGUGGGUAUCAAACAGGAUUAGAUACCCGGGUAGUC